rnacentral:rRNA from 1 species
UACGUGAGGCAGCGAGCGUUGUUCGGAGUUACUGGGCGUAAAGGGUGUGUAGGCGGUUCUUUUAAGUUUGGUGUGAAAUCUCCCGGCUCAACCGGGAGGGUGCGCCGAAUACUGAGGGACUUCGAGUGCGGGAGAGGAAAGUGGGAAGUUCCUGGUGUCAGCGGUGAAAUGACGCAGAGUAUCAGGAAGAACACCGGUGGCGAAGGCGGCUCUCUGGACCGAUACUGACGCUGAGGCGCGAAAGCGUGGGGAGCAAACAGG